GGCUUAUUUAUGAUUUAUGGAAGACUUGCUUUUAAAAGGGGGGAACUGUUGCAUGGUUAAAACCCACCAAAGAUCGGAUUUCUAAUUAAAGAACCUCCAGAUUUUGAAGCUACAGAUCUUAGGUAAGUUGUUAGGUUGCUCCUAUGCCCCAAACAGGAAUUGGCAACCGCAUCUUUCUCAGAGUGAUUUUUUUUUUUUUUUAAGCACGAAAAACAGAAAAAGCGCUUUCGGACGUCACCCCGGCUCUUUUUGAGUUUAUAAUAUAUUAUAGGCAGAAGUCGCAAGAUUGAAUCGGAGGGGCGGGGCCCUGGGCCACAGGGCGGGGCGUCGCGAAAGGCUGCAAGGAGCCUCUUCGGGAGAAUCGCUGGCGGAGGUGAAAGCAGAGCCGUCAAAGCCCCGGGCGUCGAGGCGAUUUCUCCGCUGCCUCGGCUCUGGGUUCGCUUCCAGCCGUUUCUCGUCCCCGAAAGUGGCCAAAACGAGGAAGAGCUCCGCACGAGACUCGGCCAUCCCCGGGCGGGCAGCGCACCAUGAGCGCCGAUUGCAGCAGCUACCUGAACGCCGAUAAAGUGCUGGUGGGCUCCUUCAGCUGUCCGCGGGAAGACGGCGAGGCUGAUGCGAUCUAUUGCUGCGGCUUUCAGGAUAUCAAGUAUUGUUGCGACGACCCUAACAGCUUUUUUCCUUACGAGCACAACUAUAUGUGGUGGCUCAGUAUUGGAGCGCUUAUUGGCUUGUCGGUUGCAGCAACGGUCUUGCUGGCUUUUCUCAUCACGGUGUGUGUCCUCUGUUACUUGUUUAUCAGCAAGAAGCCACGCAACAAAUUGGAUACAGGUUUAACCUUGAGCUUAGAAGCAGCAGGCAGAGAAAUUAGAAGAAAUUCUUCAAGUUGAAGGAAGAUAUACGGAACAGAACUGGUUCAACCGAGUUCUGCAAGCAGUUAGCAAAGAAGUGCAUUUGUCCAAAGGCACCAGCAAAGUAUUCCAGAAAUGAAGGCAUUCAUUUUAGACUGUGAGAAUUCAGUGCAAAAAAAGUGCCAGCGUAUGUAUGCCCAUGUGUGUUUGUGUACUCCCUUCUUGUUUUCUUGCCAUGCUAAUUGUUAGUUAUGCUCAGAGCCAACCUGAAUAUAUGCCCAGAAAUAUAAUAUACUUGUCACUAUUAAUUUAGGAUUUUAGGCCCUGAUCCUGUAAACCUGAAAAGGCCUAUAUUGUCUUAUACAGGCAAAGUUAGAAUCUUAAUCAUUUUUAAUAAUCCAGUAGUGGCUUUAAAGAAGUGAUAAAAAGAAUACUAAACAAAAUCAUCCUGUAUUACUUCUGGAUCAAAAUGUGAUGGUUUUCUUGGAUUUGUAUAUUCUGUUGUAAAAAGCUACAGAUUUGUUCCCUCACAGUUCCAAUUCUUUGUAAUAAGCAAGCCUGGUUAAUAUAGGCAACUUGUGGGGAUCCCUGCCAAUAAUGCUUCGGUGAUAAAUUAUAUUAUUAGACAGUAAUAUUAGGAUGUUAAUCAGAUUUGACUCUUUUUCACCUAGAUAUUAUUUUUUUUUUAAAAAAAAACUAAUUCUUAUUUAUUCAUUUGGUAAAGUUAAACGUAACAUGAAGUCCCGUAAAUACAAUACACAGAUACCACUACUACUACCAAAUAUCAUAUAUAACAAUAAUUACGAAAAUAAUCUUAUCUCUUUUGUCAUGUUAAUUAAAUAAAAACAAAGAGAGCUAAAAUAUUUUUUAUCAAUAAAUUUUUAUUAUCAAUAAUGAGGCAUCUGAUUGCAUCUUUUCAGACUAACAAAUAUUAUUAAAACACACAAGUACAACUUCUAAUUUUUGGCUUUGGUAGACUAACAUGGCAUUUGACUGUAAUGCCUCUUGUUAGCAAAGUAAUUAACAGAACAUAGAAUAAAAUACAAUGAAACUAUAUACAUAAACCAGUCCUUGAGAAGGAAAAGGUAAUCAAGAUGCAUAAACAAUUCUUUCUCUCAACGUUAAAUCUGUAAAGGCUCCAAAUUUAUAAUGUUCAGAUUUUUCUCUGAGAACUGUGGUAAACAAGCCCAUACUUAUUAUUUCAUAUGAGAAAGUUGCCAAAGCAAGAAUUAUUCAAAAACAGGGAUUCUCCUGGGCUCUCCAUGCAUUUUAUAUCCAGCAGGAUCUUCCGCUAGUAGUGUCUUGCUUGAUGGAUCUGCAUAAACAUUGUGGAGAUUGUUGUAUAUUUCCAAAGCCUUUUCUCCUAUGCAGUAGAUCAGCCCAGCAUUUUUAUCAUCCUUUGAUUUCCUCAGCCUUUUAUGAAUUGUAGAUAUAAUUGCAGUUUCAUUUUUCUCCUACAUUUCCUGCCAGAUUUAAUUAGAAGGGCAGCUUAAUAGGCUCCAUUUUUUUUCUUGCAACUGCUGGCUAAAGAACUGGAAACUUUUUUUCAGGUAGGCUUAAGAGAAAAAGUUCUGAUAUUUUGACCCAAUGUAAUAUUUCUUGGGCGUGAGAAAUAUCAGGGAGAAUUUGAUUGCUUUUAGAUUUUCCAGCCAACACACUGCAGGCAUCAACAGCUUCAUAACAAGUUCCUUUAUUAUUCAUUACAGUGCAGUAGAUGGAGAACAUCCAGUCUCUAAGAACUUUCAGGCAAUACUGCCUUGUUCCCAAGCACCUCAAAAUGAAAUAGGGAAAGGCUUUACGCAGACUCUGGAAAGCAAAAUAUGCAGGCUUUCUAAUCUGUCUACACACACAUACAAAAGGUUAUGCCUACCUUUAUUGCCCUGCACCUUGUUAACAAUUUAAACGUGUGACUUAAGCAUUAUUUACUAUGUUUCAGAUAUUAAACAUAUGUGACAUUAAACAUUCCACAAUAGAAGACCCCUACCCAAUCCCAUGAUAGUUUCCUGGGUCAUUUAGAGAAUAUAGUUUUUCACUUCUUCUUGACAUCCUAUUCAUGUUCUCAUAGUACCUUGUUAAAAGAUGUUGAUGACUUUUAUAAAUAUGUCCUCAUUUGUUAAGUUGAUGUGGCAGUUCAAUUUCAUUCCAGGAUAUAUUAUUUAAAACACCAAAAUAAAUUACAAGUAAACUACAGAAUUGAAGAGACUUUUAAAUUUGUUGCACAGCUCUAUACAGAAAUUCAAUUGGCAGUAAUCCACAUUUUAGUGGAAAUUGUUUAGUGUAAUGAUUAGCUGAUUUACCAGUUUACAGAUGUUUCUACUGAUUUCCAGAUGUGUUUCAAAUAUAACAUUAAUAGAUCUUCACUGGACUGUAAUUAAACCCAAUAUAGGAAAGACUAUUAUGCAGCCUUUUCCAUCAUGGCCAAUUUUAAAAUGUAGACUUAGAUUUCAACAACCUUAUUCAAAAUAUACAGAUGGAUUUACAGAAUAAAAACAAACAAAUCCAAAAACCAGUUGCCUUGCUGUUCAAAAUAAUUUUGUAUUUCAAAAGUAAUCUGACAUAGAAUUUAAUUCUACCUGGAAACCAUUUGGGGGUAAUAUCAUUAUAUGCACAAUUGCACAAUAUCUGAAAUUUGUGUUCUUAGUAAAUUGAUGCCUUUAAUUGCUCAGACAGAAAUUAAUGCAAUACUUUAUUUCACUUUAUGAUUUACACUACUAUUUCUGUUGAUAUUCAUGUAUUACUUUAUUUUAACAGUGAUUUUGUAGUUGUACAUUCAAUAACAAAAUGGCUAAUCAAAUCAAUGAAAUGUCAACAUUUUAAUUAAUAUUUAAUAUAAACUAAUCCUGAUCCUGAUUAUCCACAUUGUGCUUUUUUUACUUUCUUUUUAAAAAUCUCUUUCCCCAUUUUUGUGCCUUUUUUAUUUUCCUUAACUACUUGAUAAAAAUACAAUUAUAAAAAACUUGCUUGGUUGCCUAUCAUUGUUCUGUAAA